rnacentral:misc_RNA from 1 species
UCCCGGUUGGCCCGGGCGGUCUCGCGUGAAAAAUACAACACACGACAAGGGUUGCGCUCGUUGCGGGACUUAACCCAACAUCUCACGACACGAGCUGACGACGGCCAUGCAGCAUCUGUCACUUAUCCAGCCGAACUGACUGCCUAGUUUCUUAGGCAUACGAUAAGGAUGUCAAACCUUGGUAAGGUUUUCCGCGUAGCAUCAGAUUAAACCACAUGAUCCACUGCUUGUGCGGAGCCCCGUCAAUUCCUUUGAGUUUUAAGCUUGCGCUCGUACUCCCCAGGCGGCAUAUUUAACGCGUUAGCUUCUCCGCACAGAGGGUCGAUACUCCAUACGAAUAAUAUGCAUCGUUUACGGCGUGGACUAC